AUAUUGUGAAUAUUAAUGACUGACAUAGUGCCUUUGAAUUAAUAUACUAUAUAGCUGUCAUAAUAUUUGGUUUACCUUCAAUUUUCAUCAAUGUAGUGAACUUGGCGAGAGAAACAGAUAUAUACAGUACAGUGAUAUCACAAGAACGACUUGUCUGAAGGAAACGAUGAAUUAACAACAAAGCUUAUGCCAACUUUAAAUCUUUUAAGUCG